rnacentral:rRNA from 1 species
AGAGUUUGAUCAUGGCUCAGAAUCAACGCUGGCGGCGUGCCUCAGACAUGCAAGUCGAACGAUUAAAGCUCUCUUCGGAGAGUGUAUAGAGUGGCGCACGGGUGAGUAACACGUAAGUAAUCUACCCUCGAGUGGGGAAUAACAACCGGAAACGGUUGCUAAUACCGCAUAAUGCAGCGGCACCGCAAGGUGACAGUUGUUAAAGAUUUAUCGCUUGAGGAGGAGCUUGCGGCAGAUUAGCUAGUUGGUAGGGUAACGGCUUACCAAGGCUACGAUCUGUAACCGGUCUAAGAGGACGGUCGGUCACACUGACACUGAAUAACGGGUCAGACUCCUGCGGGAGGCAGCAGUCGGGAAUUUUGGGCAAUGGGCGAAAGCCUGACCCAGCAACGCCGCGUGAAGGAUGAAGUAUUACGGUAUGUAAACUUCGAAAGAAUAGGAAGAAUUAAUGACGGUACUAUUUAUAAGGUCCGGCUAACUACGUG